GAAAUGCGAUAAGUAAUGUGAAUUGCAGAAUUCAGUGAAUCAUCGAAUCUUUGAACGCACCUUGCGCUCCUUGGUAUUCCUUGGAGCAUGCCUGUUUGAGUAUCAUGAAAUCUUCAAAGUAAAUCUUUUGUUAACUCAAUUGGUUUCUACUUUGGUAUUGGAGGUCUUUGCAGCUUCACACCUGCUCCUCUUUGUUCAUUAGCUGGAUCUCAGUGUUAUGCUUGGUUCCACUCGGCGUGAUAAGUUAUCUAUCGCUGAGGACACUGUAAAAGGUGGCCAAGGUAAAUGCAGAUGAACCGCUUCUAAUAGUCCAUUGACUUGGACAAUACUUUUAUGAUCUGAUCUGACAUCAGGUAGGACUACCCGCUGAACUUAAGC
rnacentral:misc_RNA from 1 species